GACGAACGCUGGCGGCAGGCCUAACCCAUGCAAGUCGAGCGGAGCGGCGGACGGGUGAGUAAUGCCUAGGAAUCUGCCUGGUAGUGGGGGAUAACGUCCGGAAACGGGCGCUAAUAUCGCAUACUAUCAGAUGAGCCUAGGUCGGAUUCGCUCGUGGGUGGGGUAAAGGCCUACCAAGGCGACGAUCCGUAACUGGUUUGCGAGGAUGAUCAGUCACACUGGAACGGAGACACGGUCCAGCCGCCGACGGGAGGCAACAGUGGGGAAUAUUGGGCAAUGGGCGAAAGCCUGAUCCAGCCAUGCCGCGUGUGUGAAGAAGGUCUUCGGAUUGUAAAGCACUUUAAGUAGGGAGGCGUUACCAACAGAGUAAGCACCGGCUAACUUCGUGCCAGCAGCCGCGGUAAUAC
rnacentral:rRNA from 1 species